rnacentral:rRNA from 1 species
UGGGGGAAUAUUGGACAAUGGGCGCAAGCCUGAUCCAGCCAUGCCGCGUGAGUGAUGAAGGCCCCUAGGGUUGUAAAAGCUCUUUUCAGCGAGGAGGAUAAAUGACGUUACUCGCAGAAGAAGCCCCGGCUAACUUCGUGCCAGCAGCCGCGGUAAUACGAAGGGGGGCUAGCGUUGUUCGGAAUCACUGGGCGUAAAGCGCACGUAGGCGGACUUUUAAGUCAGGGGUGAAAUCCCGGGGCUCAACCUCGGAACUGCCUUUGAUACUGGAAGUCUGGAGUCCGAGAGAGGUGAGUGGGAACUCCGAGUGUAGAGGUGAAAAUUCGUAGAUAUUCGGAAGAACACCAGUGGCGAAGGCGGCUCACUGGCUCGGUACUGACGCUGAGGUGCGAAAAGCGUGGGAAGCAAACAGGAUUAGAUACCCUGGUAGUCCACGCCGUAAACGAUGGAAGCUAGCCGUCAGGGUGCAUGCAUCUUGGUGGCGCAGUUAACGCAUUAAGCUUCCCGCCUGGGGAGUACGGUCGCAAG